CACCUGACGCUGAAGAAGAGAAACUCCCAUCAGACCAUCUUCAACAGCAACAUGUCCUCUGUAACUCUGCUCCUGCUGCUGGCUGCUGCAUCCUGUGUGAAGUGUGAACAGCUGACCCAGCCAGCCUCUGUGACUCUGCAGCCAGGUCAACGUCUGACCAUCAGCUGUCAGGUCUCUUAUUCUAUAAGCAGCUACUACACAGCUUGGAUCAGACAGCCUGCUGGGAAAGGACUGGAGUGGAUUGGGAUGGAACGCAUUGGAAGUACCAAAUACUACAAAGAUUCACUGAAGAACAAGUUCAGCAUCCGUUUGGAUGGCUCCAGUAACACAGUGACUCUAAACGGACAGAAUAUGCAGCCUGAUGAUUCUGCUGUGUAUUACUGUGCCAGAUUAGACACAGUGACACAAACAAGCAGCAGAGCUGAACAAAAACCCCUCACUACCUCAACACCUGCUCUACAGAUAUUGAUCAGAGGAGACUCUUUUAGACAAUUUACUUGA